rnacentral:rRNA from 1 species
AAGCGGAGGAAAAGAAACCAACAGGGAUUGCCCCAGUAACGGCGAGUGAAGCGGCAACAGCUCAAAUUUGAAAUCUGGUCCCUAGGGCCCGAGUUGUAAUUUGUAGAGGAUGCUUUUGGUGAGGUGCCGCCCGAGUUCCCUGGAACGGGACGCCACAGAGGGUGAGAGCCCCGUCUGGCUGGCCGCCGAGCCUCUGUAAAGCUCCUUCGACGAGUCGAGUAGUUUGGGAAUGCUGCUCAAAAUGGGAGGUAUAUGUCUUCUAAAGCUAAAUAUUGGCCAGAGACCGAUAGCGCACAAGUAGAGUGAUCGAAAGAUGAAAAGCACCUUGAAAAGAGGGUUAAAUAGUACGUGAAAUUGUUGAAAGGGAAGCGCUUGUGACCAGACUUGGGCGCGGCGGAUCAUCCGGGGUUCUCUCCGGUGCACUUCGCCGCGUCUAGGCCAGCAUCAGUUCGUCGCGGGGGAAAAAGGCUUCGGGAACGUGGCUCCUCCGGGAGUGUUAUAGCCCGUUGCAUAAUACCCUGCGGUGGACUGAGGACCGCGCAUCUGCAAGGAUGCUGGCGUAAUGGUCACCAGCGACCCGUCUUGAAACACGGACCAAGGAGUCGUCUUCGUAUGCGAGUGUUCGGGUGUCAAACCCCUACGCGUAAUGAAAGUGAACGCAGGUGAGAGCUUCGGCGCAUCAUCGACCGAUCCUGAUGUUCUCGGAUGGAUUUGAGUAAGAGCAUACGGGGCCGGACCCGAAAGAAGGUGAACUAUGCCUGUAUAGGGUGAAGCCAGAGGAAACUCUGGUGGAGGCUCGCAGCGGUUCUGACGUGCAAAUCGAUCGUCAAAUAUGGGCAUGGGGGGCGAAAGACUAAUCGAACCUUCUAGUAGC